CGCGCGCGUGCGCGCGCACUCAGGCGACUGGUCAGGUAAAUGGGGAGUGAGCGUGAGCGUGGGAGAGCGGGCUCGAGAGCGAGAGCCACGGUUGAGCGGAGCGCGCGGCGCUGAGAGAAAAAGGACGAAGUGGAAAUAAAAAUGGUUGGAAACGCGCAGAGCUGGACACGCGUGUUCGUGGCAACGUGUCUUCUGUGGGUCGCGGGAGCCGCUGCGCAGAAAGUGUACUUUGAAUGUGGAGCUGUGGUGGACGUUGUUGAUGACCAGGGCCUCAUCCUGUCUCCAGGCUUUCCUUACAACUACUCUUCAGGGGCACACUGUGUGUGGCAGUUCUUUGUGCCUGUGGGCUACCAGCUUGUGCUGGAGAUGUUUGACUUUGACGUUUAUGAGAAUCAUCAAAGCCCUGCCAAGUAUGUGUCUGGGACACAUGCGGACGAGGACGCCCACAACAGCACUUCGCCAGCCCGGAGGGAUGCUGCCGUGGAUUAUGUGCCCAUCGCCAAGGAACCUUUCUUCCCAGCCCAAGAGGGCACAGUCAAGCCACUUCAGGCUUUCCAGAAGAAUGACAUCAAGCAUUUGGUGAUGCAGGAGAAGUCCGCAAAAAUGGAAAUGGCCAAGGUGCCCAACUGGGCCAAAUGGUCUGCCGACGUGCCUUCUGCACGACCCCUGCACCUCCGGCCAGCGGAUGUGACGGAUCGGAGACAUGUCUCACCGGAGGGCUUCGGAGGGGAAGCCGACCCUAACCCGACCCGGCCCACCCGGCAGGCUGCUCAGACCCCGCCGUCCGAUACGGGGGCUGAGACCCAGCAGCCUGUGGUGGAUGCCUGCCCUCAUGAUGUCCUCUACAUCUCCGACCUAAUCACAUUCUCCUCCCGCUUCUGCGGCUCCAACAGCCCCACGGGCCAGCGGAUGGUGUUCGGCUCUCCGGAGGAGAUGGUGGAAGUCAUCAUGGAGCUGAUCACAACCACGCACUGGGGCCGAGGCUUCGCUCUGCUCUUCCGCUACCACAACCACACAGAUGCCGAGGACCGACGCCUCAACGCGCUCGCUACAGGCAGAAUGGACACUCUGCUGACCGCUUUGGGAGGGGUGACCUUCUUUGCGCUGGUUCUCACCAGUGCUCUCUGCAUAAUCUUCAGACCAAAGCUGUGCGCGAAGGGGGCCGCCACCUGUUCGCCCAACAGCUCUGAGUUGCAGGGCGACAUGCCGAGUACCGGGACAGAUGCAGGCGAGCUGCAGCUGGUGGUGCCGAGUUACACGGGCGUGCCGGUCUGCGCCGAGAGCAGGAUCAUCGGGAACCCGGGGAACGUCAAGCGCUCCUUCAGCCUGCCACACACAGAUUCUGGGUUAGUCGGCAGCGGCGGGGCGGACCCUUCCCACAAUGCUGAGCUCGAGCUGUCCCCCGGCGGACUGACGGAGCUGGACCUGGGGACAGACGAGGUGUUUGUGAUCCCCUCGGGACCGGCUCCAAGCGGGCCGCCCUUGUGCCCGCACACGAGGGAUCGCUUCUUGAGGCACAGCGACACGGCGCUGCCGGCCCGGGCUGAGAGCGCCGGCGGGACACGGCCCCGCGCGUGGAGCGUUCGCACCUUCCAGGACCUCCUUCAGCCCCUUCCCCAACUGCAGCGCAAGUGGUGCAGCUGGAACUCCACCAGUCCUUUCACCAAGCUCGUGGACAGCGCUCCAGCCACCACAGCACUGGGCUGCUCCAGUGACGGGUCUAGGAAGAUCAUCUUGGACAGCCACCUAGAAGGCAAGGCCAACGGCCAGCAUGAUGACUCCGGCAGGAGCUCCGCCUCCACCCUGCUUACCCAGCCACCUCAGAGGCAGCGCCGUCUCAACUCUAUCGGCAACAUGCGGCGCUCCCGCUUCGCCAGCCCAUGCUUCAGCUUCCUCUCGGGAAGUCCAGAUGGUGGUGCUGCUGCCCCCACUGUGCCCUCCAAGGGUGCUCCCUCGGUGCCAGCGAACGGCUCUCUGUGCCCCACGGUGCAGGCGGAGGUAGAAGCGCACGUACAGGCCGGCGCUCCCGUGUUUGCCAUCUCGGAGGAGGAGGAUCGGCAGCCCCUGGUCCCGUCUGAGCACCUGGCCCAGGCCACCCUGCUCAACGGCGCCCUCUGGGGGAGCCACAACCAGGGAAACGUCAGCAGCUGCCUCGGCCCUUACCCGGCCGUGGCUCCCGGAGAUGCGAGGGCCGCUUUUGCCCAGAGUGCAGUUAAGCUGAAAGAGGCGCAGCUGCAGCCGGUCUCCAAGAGCCCAGCCGCUGUGAGCAGCAGCGUUGCCGUUAAGGGGAUGUGA
ensembl:lncRNA